rnacentral:misc_RNA from 1 species
GAUGAAGAACGCAGCGAAAUGUGAUAAGUAAUGUGAAUUGCAGAAUUCAGUGAAUCAUCGAAUCUUUGAACGCACCUUGCGCUCUUUGGUAUUCCGAAGAGCAUGCCUGUUUGAGUGUCAUGAAAAUAUCAACCUUGACUUGGGUUUUGUGCUCUAGUCUCGGCUUGGAAUUGGGUGCUUGCCGCUUUUACGAGCGGCUCACCUUAAAUGUAUUAGCUGGAUCUGUCUUUGAGACUUGGUUUGACUUGGCGUAAUAAGUAUUUCGCUAAGGACAUUCUUCGGAGUGGCCUCGUUUCUAGGACGCUUGUCCGCUUUCCAAUACAAGUUCCACCUCGUGGACAUGACUUUUUAUUAUCUGGCCUCAAAUCAGGUAGGACUACCCGCUGAACUUAAGCAUAUCAAUAAGCGGAGGA